CCACCCUAACCGUUUGCGAGCUCGACAGCAGUGCUCCCCUGCGCUGCCACCCAUCCCUCAACCCCAACGAGGUUUUAUUCAAGCACAUGCCUUACUACCCCUCCGGAGAGAGCCGUGAGUCGUACAUCACGGGCAUCCGCCCUGGUGGCCGGUACGGCGCUGUGCACGACGUGGAGAAGCGCCGCGACAACCUGCCGGACAACGUCUUCCACUACAUCAAGGAGGCCGUGCAGCGUGAGGAGCGCCUGCGCUGUAACGAGGAAGAGGAGCGUGCCCGCAUUCGCUUAAAGAUGUUUGCCAAGAAGCCCGGCCAGCAUCGCGGCAGUGGCGCCACGCUUGCAGCCGGGGGCAGCGGUGCUGCUGAGCAGUCCGUAGCAAUUUCACAGCUGGAGUGUGAGACUCUGACUCGCGAGCGGCGUACCGCCUUGCAGGAACUCUACCAGCGCGAGCGCAAGGAGUGGGAGAUACAACUCGGCGCACGCGGGCUCGCCACUCAUCGCACUUAAUGGAAGCGGCAGCAUGCGGUGCGGUGUCAUCACCCACUCUCCGUCCGUCCGUCCGUCCGUUGUAGGUGUGUGUAUUAUCAGACCUCCAUCGUCCGCUCGGUCGUGCUACGCACAGUCGACUGGGACUGGCCAACACGUCGUCGUGCGCAAUGGUGCUCUCCUGCUGCUGCGUCCCCCCCCCCAGCAUGCACAGUCAGUCUCUCCAUGCCCUUCUGCCUCUCUCGAGCCCUGUGGCCGUGGGCACGACCCGCCGUGAUUUUUCUGUGUGCACGCACGCCCGCGCGUGCUGCCGACAGAUGGAAGGGAGGGGAGCUGAGAGGGCGCGAAAGGGAGGAGCGGCUGGAGGGGAGGGGUGACGUGAACGAGGCAGCAAUGGUGCGCCCCCGUUUCCCGCCGCCGGCGCCUUCCUUACCGACUGCUUUUCCUCCGCAUGCUCGCUUGCGCGGCAAUGCUUGCCAAGUGCGGGCUGCGCCACCGUCCUCGCCCUCCCUCCCUCCCUCCCACCUUCCCUGCUGCCCACCAUGUAGAUUAGUUCUUUGUGAGGCGGCCGCUGCGACGAAGGUGGGGGAGGAACGGAGCGCUUCACUUGCAUGUGCUUUAGCACAUUCUCGCCAUCGAGCGCACGCAUAAAAGAAGGACCAGCUGUCAACGGCGCUGCUCAUCUCCGGCAGCCAUCACCACAGAAUGACGUGCAGCUGGGACGAUCAUGGAUCUCUGUGCAUGGCUGCGAGCCGUAGUGCAUGGAUAGAGGCACGCUUGCUGGUCUCUCUGCUUCACCCCCUCCCCAUCAGCUCGUUGAAGUGCCGCCCCUCUCGUGGCGGGAAUGUGUGGGUGUACACGACCUCGAGGAGCUUGCUAGGACGCGUACAGUUGAAGG
rnacentral:misc_RNA from 1 species